rnacentral:lncRNA from 1 species
ACUGUUUGCAGAAGAAAGGUUGCCAUCAUUCUGUUCGACGAAAACUGAGCAAGGUUACCUAUAUAUAUUCUUUUCAACAACAAUUAGUUGUUUUAAGGUUGUGAGAAAGACCAUGAACACGAGUCUCUUAUGAUUUAACUAAUGACCUAAUUACACCAAGCGAAAGAUCAAAUUGCGCCAAGAGAUCGAAAUGAACAGCAUCUCCUAGAGAAAGCAAGCAAGAGGACCAGAAAUUGCUUGACAACACGGGCGGGGGAUGAUUGGAGCAGAGUACGCACACGCAAUGCAAGAGGAACUAAGACGACGACGACGACAGCAAUGAUGACCUAUAGCUAGCGGCACCACGGACGGGGGUUGCAGCACAUGCACGCCGGGCGGCGCGCGCCUACGCGCCGGGCGCGGCGUCCUUGGCGCGGGUGCGCAGGUAUCCGCCGUACUCGCGCGCGUAGUCCUUGACGUGGCUGGCGGUGUCGGCGAUCCGGCUGCGCGCGUAGUCCACCCGGUCGGCGCCCACGGGGUGGCGGCCCGUGAAGUAGCGGUACAUCCAGGUGGCCACGGGGAGCGCGGCGGCGGCGAAGGCGCAGGCGGAGAGCGCGGCGGCGACGAUGGCGGAGAUCACGACGGCGACGGGCACCCAGAUGGGGCUGGUGAGCAGCGCGAUGGGGCCCAGGAAGACGAGCGCCACCACGGCGCCCGUCAGCG